CUGGCUCAGGACGAACGCUGGCGGCGUGCCUAAUACAUGCAAGUCGAGCGAACAGAGAAGGAGCUUGCUCCUUUGACGUUAGCGGCGGACGGGUGAGUAACACGUGGGCAACCUACCUUAUAGUUUGGGAUAACUCCGGGAAACCGGGGCUAAUACCGAAUAAUCUGUUUCACCUCAUGGUGAAACACUGAAAGACGGU
rnacentral:rRNA from 1 species